rnacentral:rRNA from 1 species
UACGUAGGGGACAAGCGUUGUCCGGAUUUAUUGGGCGUAAAGAGCGUGUAGGCGGCCAUACAGGUCAGCUGUGAAAACUCGAGGCUCAACCUCGAGACGUCGGUUGAAACCGUAUGGCUAGAGUCCGGAAGAGGAGAGUGGAAUUCCCGGUGUAGCGGUGAAAUGCGCAGAUAUCGGGAAGAACACCUAUGGCGAAGGCAGCUCUCUGGGACGGUACUGACGCCGAGACGCGAAAGCGUGGGGAGCGAACAGG